GAAGCAACAGGGCAAUGCAGUGACUGUUGCUCUGUAUUAUCAUUCGGGAAAUGUCAGCCCGACUGGUAAUGGGGAGGUUCUGUCAUGGUGCAAUGACUUCUGUCAGCCUAAUUUAAUCAUUUUUCCUCUAAGACAUGUUUUUUCUCUGUUAACUCUUUUCAUCUUUUGACUAUCUCAUUAGAUUAUGAAGAUAAUAAAACACAUUAAUGGAGUAGAUUUUCAUAAAAUCAUCAAAUAUGUGAUACUAGAAAGGGAAGUAAGCAAGAAACUACUGAUUUUUUCUCCCAAAUAUAUUUAGUUUGUACUGUUGUUGCUCUUUUUGCGUCAAAUUUAAGUCUGAUGUAAAUUUAUCAAGUUAUGCUCUUAAAUUUUGAAGGUUCUUGAGUAGUAUAUUACUAAUUGGGGGAGAAAUCUACAGAUUGAUUUUAAAAUAAGAAGUCUUCUAGUAUAAAUAAAGUAUAUUACUGCAGUUUGAAGGUAGAUUCUUUCUCUUAUUUUGUCGGUUGAACUUACUAUAUAGUAAUAGAUACGAAAACUUUAUUAUUUUACAUGUUGAAGAAGAAGCACAUAAGUGUUGCUUAAUGAUGCCUCAAAAAUCGAAGUUAUUAUAUAGUAAUAGAUAUGAAAACUUUAUUAUUGUACAUGUUGAAGAAGACACAGAUAAGUUUUGUUUAAUUAUGCCACAAAAAUCGAAUAGGUAACAGAUUUUCUACCCAAUUGUGGAUAGCAGAAGCAUUCGAAAGAAGAAAUUGAACAAACGAAAAAAAGAAAUAGUGAGAAUUUUCAGGGUUCUUGGAAUUUGGAAUGAAUUAGAAGCAGUAUUCCAAUGCAGCAGCUACAGCUUUGUACAACUACCUGGGCAAUGCCAGCCCUGCUCAUGAUAUGGGCGACAUGCUUUCAUUGCUAAGUUUCUUCAGUUUGCACAUCAAAAUAUUUGUCCCCUCAAACUCUAAUUUUAACUAUCUUUUUUAUAUCAAAAUUAGUUUUUCAUAAGAGGAAUACAUAUAGUGGAAGAUAGAAAAUCGGAGGCAUUACAACAGAAAAUUGAUCAUGCUUACUUAACUUCAAAGGUUGUUGUAGGAAGGUACAGGUUUUUCUCCAAUUCUCCCUUUUCUCUUAAUACAUUAAAGUUUUGAAGAUGGUUA